GAGUGGCGAACGGGUGAGUAACACGUGGGUAAUCUGCCCUGCACUCUGGGAUAAGCCUUGGAAACGGGGUCUAAUACCGGAUAUCACCNGNUUUCCGCAUGGAGGNUGGUUGAAAGUUCUGGCGGUGCAGGAUGAACCCGCGGCCUAUCAGCUUGUUGGUGGGGUAAUGGCCUACCAAGGCGACGACGGGUAGCCGGCCUGAGAGGGUGACCGGCCACACUGGGACUGAGACACGGCCCAGACUCCUACGGGAGGCAGCAGUGGGGAAUAUUGCACAAUGGGCGCAAGCCUGAUGCAGCGACGCCGCGUGAGGGAUGACGGCCUUCGGGUUGUAAACCUCUUUCGCCAGGGACGAAGCGCAAGUGACGGUACCUGGAUAAGAAGCACCGGCUAACUACGUGCCAGCAGCCGCGGUAAUACGUAGGGUGCGAGCGUUGUCCGGAAUUAUUGGGCGUAAAGAGCUCGUAGGCGGUUUGUCGCGUCGGCCGUGAAAUCUCCACGCUUAACGUGGAGCGUGCGGUCGAUACGGGCAGACUUGAGUUCGGUAGGGGAGACUGGAAUUCCU
rnacentral:rRNA from 1 species